AAAUACACGUUGAUGGCGAACAGCCAGACGACCAGAGUCAAGGCAGCCAGCUUGGUUUUGAAGCCGAUGGCCACUAAGAUCAUCAGCGCCGUGCCCACGAUGUUCUGGAGAAUCUGCGCAGGCGGAGAGCAGGCAGAGCUUUCCCCGGACCCGCCGAAGUUUGGGCCUGGUGGACCUCCACAUCUUAGAAGCCGCCUCGCGUCCCACAGCCGGAGACGCCCUGGAGGGCACACACUCAGCUAGUGCUCUGUAAGCUCCUGGGGGACAAGGACAGAAUCUGAACUCCGUACCCCCAAUACCUGGCACAAAGAUUAUGUGACCAAGGAUAAAAACAGUUGCUUCCUUUGAGCCAGCUCCUUCCAGUGCCCCCCACCGCCCCCCGGCUAUGCUCACUACACAGUGGGGGACAGGGUCAGGGGCCGCACCCCUUCCCAAGGACAGCAGGGCAGACCCCCUGAAGCGAGC